rnacentral:rRNA from 1 species
CGAAUUGGGAGUUGUGGGCGGGCCCUCGGAGAUGGGGCGGAAUCGCGGAUACGCCCUCGGGCGGGGCGAGCGCUUCUUAUCCCCUCGUCGCAGCGCAGCGUUAGCCCAGCCCAGCCUUGUCCCCGUCUCCUCUCUCCUUUCCCCAACCCAAACCAGGAGCGCCCUCCCUCCCCCAGCCGCCCGCCCCCUCCCCACCCAGGUGAGCCUCGAUUCGCCCUCGAUCCGGCGCCGUUUCGCCCGAUUUCCACCGGCUUUCGCCGCGCCGUCGGCGGAUCUGACCCGAUUUUGCGUUUGCGGCGCAGGAAACCAGCCAUGAAGGGGGCCAAAUCCAAGGGCGCCGUCAAGGCCGACACCAAGUUGGCGGUGAAGAGCAAGGGGGCGGAGAAGCCGGCCGCCAAGGGGAAGAAGGGCAAGGCCGGCAAGGACCCCAACAAGCCCAAGAGGGCGCCCUCCGCCUUCUUCGUCUUCAUGGGCGAGUUCCGCGAGGAGUUCAAGCAGAAGAACCCCAAGAACAAGUCCGUCGCCGCCGUCGGCAAAGCGGCCGGUGAGAGGUGGAAGAGCUUGAGCGAAUCGGAGAAGGCCCCCUACGUGGCCAAGGCCAACAAGCUCAAGGGCGAGUACAACAAGGCCAUUGCCGCCUACAACAAGGGCGAGAGUGCUGCUGCUGCUGCCCCAAAGAAGGCGGCGGCCAAGGAGGUAGAGGAGGACGAUGAGGAGGAAUCCGACAAGUCCAAGUCGGAGAUCAAUGAUGACGAUGACGAUGAGGGUAGCGACGAGGACGAGGACGAUGACGAGUGAAGCGGACAAUGCGGGAGCUGCUGUGCGAGAAGCGACCUGAGCUGUGUGCGGUGGUGUCAUAAGGAGCCUAUCCAUCUCCACUAGAAUUAUCCCAAGUUUCACUUCACAUCGUGAUGUUGUUUUACCUUUUUUCUUGUCAUUGUCCUGCUAUAACGGAUAGCGCUCCCUGUUGGCGCCGCUGCCGGCGGGGUGCCCUUGUGUUGGAGGGUGUAUGCUCCCAGCGCCGGGGUGCCCCUGCUUGUACCUAGAUGGUUACUCUUUCCGUCCACCAUUGUCACCGGCUAACAUUGUGAUAAUAUCAGUCUGGGUAAUGUUAGAUUAAGCUGUUGUCGCCCCAUGCCAUGCAUUUGCGUGUAUGAUUUGUUCCUUGU